AAGUCGUAACAAGGUCUCCGUUGGUGAACCAGCGGAGGGAUCAUUAUAGAGUUGUAAAACUCCCAAACCCAUGUGAACAUACCUCUGUUGCCUCGGUGGCCUAUAAGGUUCCUACCCUGUAGUUACCCUGUAGUCCGCCGACGGUCUAUACAAACUCUGUUUUUUUAAUAUCUCUGAGUCAACUAUAAAUAAGUUAAAACUUUCAACAACGGAUCUCUUGGUUCUGGCAUCGAUGAAGAACGCAGCGAAAUGCGAUAAGUAAUGUGAAUUGCAGAAUUCAGUGAAUCAUCGAAUCUUUGAACGCACAUUGCGCCCAUUAGUAUUCUAGUGGGCAUGCCUGUUCGAGCGUCAUUAAGUCCACUUAAGCCCUGCUUAGUGUUGGGAACCUACAGAAGCUACCCUGUAGCUACCCUGUAGUUCCUUAAAGACAGCGGCGGAGUUGUAGUACCCUCUGAGCUUAGUAAUUUUUUCUAGCUUUCGAGAUGCUACUGCUUCUGCCGUUAAACACCCUUCUUCUGAAUGGUUGACCUCGGAUCAGGUAGGAAUACCCGCUGAACUUAAGCAUAUCAAUAAGCGGAGGAAAAGAAACCAACAGGGAUUGCCCUAGUAACGGCGAGUGAAGCGGCAACAGCUCAAAUUUGAAAUCUGGCCUUCUGGUCCGAGUUGUAAUUUGUAGAGGAUGCUUUUGGUGCGGUGCCUUCCGAGUUCCCUGGAACGGGACGCCUUAGAGGGUGAGAGCCCCGUACGGUUGGACGCCUAGCCUCUGUAAAGCUCCUUCAACGAGUCGAGUAGUUUGGGAAUGCUGCUCAAAAUGGGAGGUAAAUUUCUUCUAAAGCUAAAUAUUGGCCAGAGACCGAUAGCGCACAAGUAGAGUGAUCGAAAGAUGAAAAGCACUUUGAAAAGAGGGUUAAAUAGCACGUGAAAUUGUUGAAAGGGAAGGAUUUAUGACCAGACUUUUUCCUGGCGAAUCAUCCGGUGUUCUCACCGGUGCACUUCGCCUGGUUUAGGCCAGCAUCGGUUUCCGUAGGGGGAUAAAAGCUUUGGGAAUGUGGCUCCUCCGGGAGUGUUAUAGCCCUUUGUAUAAUACCCUUCUGGGGACCGAGGUACGCGCUUCUGCAAGGAUGCUGGCGUAAUGGUCAUCAAUCACC
rnacentral:rRNA from 1 species